GCGGGAUUAGUUGACCGGUUCAACAUCAGCUUUCCAAGCUGAGAAAAGGGGUUCGACUCCCCUAUCCCGCU
rnacentral:tRNA from 1 species